UACAUGGGGUGCAAACGUUGCUCGGAAUUAUUGGGCGUAAAGCGCACGUAGGCGGUUCGUUAAGUCCGUUGUGAAAGCCCCGAGCUCAACUUGGGAAUUGGCAGUGGAUACUGGCGAGCUGGAGUGCGGUAGAGGAAGGUGGAAUUCCCGGUGUAGCGGUGAAAUGCGUAGAGAUCGGGAGGAACACCAGUGGCGAAGGCGGCCUUCUGGACCAGCACUGACACUCAAGCACGAAAGCGUGGGGAGCAAACAGG
rnacentral:rRNA from 1 species